AGUGAACGCUGGCGGUAGGCCUAACACAUGCAAGUCGAACGGCAGCACAGUAAGAGCUUGCUCUUACGGGUGGCGAGUGGCGGACGGGUGGGGAAUACAUCGGAAUCUACUUUUUCGUGGGGGAUAACGGAGGGAAACUUACGCUAAUACCGCAUACGACCUACGGGUGAAAGCAGGGGAUCUUCGGACCUUGCGCGAUUGAAUGAGCCGAUGUCGGAUUAGCUAGUUGGCGGGGUAAAGGCCCACCAAGGCGACGAUCCGUAGCUGGUCUGAGAGGAUGAUCAGCCACACUGGAACUGAGACACGGUCCAGACUCCUACGGGAGGCAGCAGUGGGGAAUAUUGGACAAUGGGCGCAAGCCUGAUCCAGCCAUACCGCGUGGGUGAAGAAGGCCUUCGGGUUGUAAAGCCCUUUUGUUGGGAAAGAAAAGCAGCAGGUUAAUACCCCGCUGUUCUGACGGUACCCAAAGAAUAAGCACCGGCUAACUUCGUG
rnacentral:rRNA from 1 species